UACAGAGGGUGCGAGCGUUAAUCGGAGUUACUGGGCGUAAAGGGCGCGUAGGCGGUCUUGUAAGUUGGAUGUGAAAUCCCUGGGCUUAACCUGGGAACUGCAUUCAAAACUGCUUGACUAGAGUUUGGUAGAGGGUAGUGGAAUUCCCGGUGUAGCGGUGAAAUGCGUAGAUAUCGGGAGGAACAUCAGUGGCGAAGGCGGCUCACUGGCCCGGUACUGACGCUGAGGUGCGAAAGCGUGGGGAGCAAACAGG
rnacentral:rRNA from 1 species